ensembl:lncRNA
ACUGUUGCAAACCUAGUCCUUGCUCUGGCGGUGCUUACCUUGCAGUGGGAAGAUGCCUGUUUGAAGCCCGUUCUUUGUCAUGAAAAGGAAUUAGACUUGCUUGGUCAUUCUGGGAAUCAGAGUUAGGGAAGAGACAGUGGAAUUAGAGGGAGGUAGAUGGGCUUAGGCCAAUAGUUCUGAAGUGUGGUACUGGACCUGCAGCUCCUGGAAACUUGUCCCAGUCACACAUUCUCAGCCCCACUUCAGAGCUAAUGAGGCAAAAACUUGUGUUUGACAAACCUACCACUGAUGGUGACGUUUAGACACAUAAGGAAGAAUACUCCACCCAGAGAAGUUUUCUAGCAUCAAACCGAGCUGUCACUGCUGGUGGAAUGGCAUUUUCUGUCACUGGAUGGGUACAAACAAGACAGCUUGAAAAAGUGAAGGCUUGGACUUUAGCAAUUCCCAAACUUAUUCAACAACAUAAUUUUAUAAUUACAAGGUACUGACAAGACACAAUGGGAGCUAAUAAAAUAUAGUGCACUGUUGCAUUAAAUAAAGUAGAUGGUGCAAAAGUGCUCCCACAUGAAAUAACUGCUGCCAGAAAUUAUCAAAAGUUGUUUUUAUAGUUUAUAAUGUACACAAAACAAGUCAGAGUAAUAAGAUAAUUUAAGAAUGUGUUAAUAUGAGUAUUGCUAAUAUAGACAUUCUCCCACCCCUUGCAAAUACCCAGUACCGUAUCAAGAAUGAGAAAAUCAAAUGCUCUAGUGUUUGUUUCAUCCUGAAAAUAUACUCUAGAAUAAAGUGGAGGGGAGCGGGAAUUAUAUUUUUAAUCUUUCCAUUCUUUCCCAUGACUUUUCUAUCUCUCCAUCACUAUUUUUUUUUUUUUUUUUGGUCCUGGCAGUUCUCCAUCCUUGGCUUGAAACCCUUUGGGUUUGGGACCUAGUGUUUUCCUCUACCUCCCUCCCCCAAAUCUCAGCCUUCCCAUUCUUUCCUAUAUUCUUGCUCCCAGGAGGCUUUAUCCAUCCUGAUCAGCCCUCCAAGUUCAGGGCAUCUAUCUGCUCAUGAAUCUGUGCUGAUGGUAUUGCAGUUGGCUGUGAGUUGUCAGUUUAUCUCUUGGAGAACCUGUUUCCUAUUUAAGUGGAGCCUUCUAGAGCCAGUGCCUAUUAGGGAGAGAGUUUUAGAAAAGACAGCUGGGAGAGGUGCACAACAUGGAGAGAAUUUCUCAAGGUUGGCCCCUGGAAUAAUUCCCUGAGUCAGAAUUAUCAAAGUGUUUUGUUAAAAGUAAAUUGUCUGCUCCUACCCAGAUACGUGAAAUCAUGAAUCUGGAAAUGGUCCCUUGUUUUUGCCUUUUUACAGUGUCCCAGAGGAGUCAUUCUCAUUCAAGUUUGGGAACCAUGGGAGCCUGGUCCCUUCCCUAACUCAUACAGAAUCACCCUUCUGUCCUCAGUCAAGUCCAGACUUGACCUGUCUAAUAUUUUCCAGAGUGAUUCUUCACUGGAGUUGUAACUACCUCAGGAACUGAAAUGGAUGGUGAAAUAUAACCAUCAAGUUGGCUUAAAUUGGAUACAGCCUGGGGAAGAGAUGGGAUGUUUCAGUUGCAUUCCUGUUACUCAUGUGAAGUCUCCACCAGCUACCUCCUUGGCAUUACAAAUCAGUUUGCUUUCUCUGCGGUGGGUCUGGGGGUAAGGUGGGCAGUAUGGGGAUGACGGGAUGAAGACAGGGAGGCAGGAACACUUUACUCUGCUUUUCCCACAACUACUCCAUGCAAAUAGAGAUGUUUAGGUCACUUGUCCUCUGUGAUAUUUUGGCCUCAUUUAUAGUGGGAAUUAACGUGAUCAAGAGGCAACAUUCUGGGAUCCUUUGCAAUAAUCUAAAAAUAAACAAAGCUCCAAAGAUCCAUUCCUUCUUUCCAGUAAUUUGAAGGAAGGCAGAUGGUGCCCAGUAACCUGAUUUGAAUUGCCAGUAAAGCUCAUCUUUUUGCUAAGCACUUGCCGUUAAAUUUUAACGGAUGGUGUCAGGAGGUGCAGAAUGAGUUUUGAGAAAGGUUACUUUGGGCCUCUGGGGUGGGAAAGUAGGGAAAUGGAAUCUGUCUCCAUAAACCUUUGCUGUGAAGGAGGGGGCUUGAAAUUUAAAGAUUGAAGGGAGAAGUGUGGCAGAAAAGGAUGACUUGGCAGGAAAGUGGCGAGUUUCAAAGAACCUUGACAUCCAAGUUGUAAACUUGAGGCCAUCAACUUUGUCUCACUUAUGGCUACCUUCCCAUAGCCAUAUGGCUACGUGUGGCUACCUUCCAAACAUCCUUAUAUGUUUGAUGGGUAAUCAAUAAAUGCUGGCUGAGUGAAUGAGGAAAACCCUUGACUGGUAAAAAGGAUAACCAGAAUAAAGAGGAAAGAAAGUAGGACCAAGACAGGCUAAGAAUAUGCUCCCACAAAGAAUUGCAAAGAUGAAAGCAGGAGUCCUAGCCUGGGAGCUUGGGUUCUAGUCCUGAUCCUGAUAUUAUGUCACUGAUAAAAGUGUCAUAAGCCACUAGAUGGAGGAAGGUGGGGAUCACAUUGUGUUGGUGACCUGUCUCCUUCCUCUGGGACCAGAACCCAAGACUCCAAACCUUCCAAUGCUGUUUCCGUAGAUGUCAACAAACUUGUGUGCUUAUGACUGGUUUAUUGAUUUUUUCUAACUCAAAAUGGAUAAUUUGGUUGAUUUUUUUUUAAAUGUCAAAAUGGAUAGAGGGGGGGAUCAAUAAGAUCCGUUUCAACCCUAAAAUUCUGUCGUGUAUUUUAUUACAUUUGUAAAGGGCCAGGUUUGUUUUGUUUUGUCAGUACCCAAAAUGUUAGGGUCCCCAAACCUGCCUAACUCAGUUACUGGUCUGGGGAAAUCCUGAAGGAUUUUCCUAGAGAAGAAUCAGUUGUGGCCUGGCUCUCUUUGCCUCAGGAAUCAGGCAUCUUUAUCUAUUGCUGGAUUUGGAUAGCUUUUGCCUGCCUAUUAACCAUUCCUGUUAUUCCUUUCAUCAUGCCUCUCCCUCAUUCUCACUUCAUGUGGUUAUGGUUGGGCUGACCCUGCUCCCACCCCUGCCUCCCAUGGGUGGACACUUGACUAAUGUUUAGCCAACUAGAGUAUUGUAUAGCCUCUGGCCACAGUAUUGGGUUCAAGGAUGAAAACUUAAAACAGCCUAAUGAGACAGCCUCAUUUGCCAAAACAAUUGAGAAUGUGGUUCCCUGUUUUCACCUGAGUUUCACCUAAACUAUAAUUGUAUAUGGCCAUCAGCUCUUGAGGGGAGCCUAGACCUGAGAAUGAGGCCAACAUGGAGGAGAACAAAACUGAACAGUGAAGGAAGAAAUUCCUGGUGCUGGCAUAUGACCAUUUUUUAAUUAAUUAAUUAACUGCUUUUUAGGGCCACACCCAUGGCAUAUGGAGGUUCCCAGGCCAGGCUUGGGAAUCAGAACUGUAGCUGCUGGCCUACACCACAGCAACGUGGGAUCCAAGCCACAUCUGCGACCUACACCACAGCUCAGGGCAAUACCGGAUCCCUGACCCACUAAGUGAGGCCAGGGAUGGAACCCACAUUCUCAUGGAUACUAGUUGGAUUUGCUUCUACUGCCCCACAAUGGGAACUCUUACCAUGUGACCAUAUAGAUCAAGCUAUACCUGAAGGUAGUUCUAUCCUGGACUCAUCAGUUCUAUGAGCCAAUGUAUUUCCUUGUCUGAUAAAGUUUAUUUUAAUUGGGUUUUUGUCACUUGGAUUGAAGAAUGUCCCAAUUAACACAGUUACUUUGAGGCUCAGGGUGAAAUGCAAGGACAAGACAAAAGGCCAUCUGUAAGGUAAUGAGCAAACAUAGUGAGCAAGAGCACAUAACCUGCUGAGUUUGGAUAAUCCCAACCAGCAGAGGAGCAAACUUUAGUACUACUACUUUGUUAUUUUAUGGCUAAAUUGCAACUAAUCUGUUUAUACCUGACCUGUUACAGUCACAGAGGUAGUAUGCCACAGUGAGGGUUUGGCAACAUAGAGUCCUCAAGUUCUGGAUGUUUGUUGAGAAUGCAGAUUCCUGGGCCUACCCCAGAAUUAUUGAUUCACAGUCUGAGUAGAAGACUGGAGUUGGCUUUCUUAAAAGAUUCCAAGGAUAUGCAUUAAUGUGUGAGGUCAUAGUAGAAGGAGAUCAGACUUUAAAAUUAGAUGGUCUGGAUUUGAACAUGGCCUCUGCUAUUUCCUGUAUGACCUUGGGCUAGUAGCUUAGUUUCUAUUCAACCUCAGUUUUCUUAUUGGUAGGAUGUGGAUAAUAACACCUCACAGGAUUGUGAGGGUAAAUGAAAUAAUGCAUGCGUAUAAAGCUCUCAACCAAGUGUUUUUAAUAUAAGAAGUAGUAUUUUUAUUAAAAUCUAAAACUAUAAAAGAAAGGAGCAGGCCUAAGAAAGCUCACAAGGAAGAGAUAGAUGUUAUGUUUGAACUGUGGUGCUCCCCAGAAUAUGACAUAAUAUGCACAGUGGUUAGAACUGGAGGUUCUGGAGUCAGAAGGCCUGAAUCAAGUUCUGAUUCUGCCACUUACCUCUUGAGUGACUUCCUUCUUGACUGCCUUUCUGCCUCAAGUCUUCUGAUCUGUUAAAUGAGAUUAAUGGUGGUACUUAACUCACUGGUCUUUUGGUAAUGAUUCAGUAAGAUAAGGAAUGUGAUGGAAAAAAUUUUUUUAAAAAUUUAAAAAAUAAGGAAUGCAAAGGACUUGAGAAUAGUAGUUUAUGAUGACCACUUCCUCCUUUUCCUGUUACAGUAAUGCUUCCCCAUGUGCUUCACAGCCACAUGGACUUAAUCCUCUGCGAUCUUCUCCCACAGGCCCCAGACCCUGUUAUAGCAUGAAGAAAUUAGAUUCAGAGAGAGAGGGCCUUCUUGAGCUGAAUCCCCCAUAACGAGGGCUCCAGCUGGGAAGUAGCAGAGGCUCCUGCUUUGUCCUGUGGGGGCCUGGUUUUUUGUGCCAACAGCAUACAUGAUAGGAGAAAUGUCUAGAAAUUCGAAUUGGCAUUUGCAAAGUGUCAAUGCUCUUAGCAUUUUCUUUCUGACGAAGCCUCAGGAAACCUCAGGACCCAACGUAUUAAGCAAAUGAAGAAUGUUUGGGCCCCAGGUCCUGCUGAUGGAUGCAGCCCUCUAGUCCUGCCUGCUAGGUCUGUGUAGCUAUUGAACAUUUACAAUCCUGUUCAAUAUGACUUUUCAAGUGGAAAAGGUCUAGCAAGCCAUGUAACAAGGAAAUGACUGCAGGAGCAAAAUGACUGGCUAUGCUGUAAAAGUGCUUGGAGGAGUUUGAAGGAGUGUCUACACCUGAAAUACAAGUUGGGUCUCAUCUUCCUAAUGUAAUAAAUGAGAUGAUCUUUAAUAUUUCUUUUAACCUUGACUUUAAGAUUUUUAGAUUCCAGAUUCUAUCAUGUUACUCAGAAGUGCUUCUCUUAGGAAGUCUCUGUAUCCCUCUGAAUUGCCAACAGUGGGAAAUAGGAUGGGUGACAUCUGCAAUUGAAACCAGGCCAUGUUUUUGAACAGUUGGCAAAUCUAAGUUAUUCUCUUCUCCCUAGGAUGGGUGCAGGGUUGCAUAUUAAUUUACAAUUACUCAUAAAGUAGACAGCAAAGGCUUCUCUUUUGUCAACACUUGGACAUACAAAUUAGGUAAUAUAGAAUGGGCAAUGAAUAUUUAUUUCAUUUCCACCUUGCCUCAUGGUGCCAGUCAUCUUAAAUGAGACCAGAUUAACAUCAGAAGUGACUCACACUUGGUUAGGUAUCCAAGUCUGCCCCCUCAGAUUUGCUGCAUUUGGGCCUCAAUUUGUCAGAUGAAUUCUGUUACUAACUAUGCAAGCACAGAAGCAAAACCACAUAAGCCUAUCUCCAGUUUAUGGUGACGAUGAACUUUAGUAUUUCAAAGUGGUCUUUCGUUCUAACAGUAUGACAAAACAAAUUCAUAGAAAGACUGAAUAAAUAAAUAGAAUUUUAUAAAAUACUCCAGUAUAAAAGACAAAAAUUUCUAGAGGCAAGAAAGAAACACAGAAAUCAAAGUCAGGACAAUAAUGAAGGGCUGACAUUUCAGCAAAAUUUCUGACCCAGAUGUAGGCUUUAAGAGCUGAAGCUUUGGGAUCUGACACUUGCUCAGGUAUAGAAGAUGUGACCUCAAGUCCUCAACAGCAGGGAAAUUAGAACAAGCUUCAGCAUAAACCUGGGAACCUCCUCAAGCUGCACUUUUAAGGGAAUGGCAACUGUAACAACUCUACAUUUGGGUCUAGGAAAGAAGCCCUCCUUCUAAGGCCCUGGUUUAAAAGAAGAAAAAAAGUUGUAUCUAAGAAAAUAAAACCCCAAGUCUGCACCAUACAUAAGUGUGGUAUCCAAAUUAUACUGGUUAUAAGUUAGCACAGACUUCUAAAGUCAUUGCCCAGGACUGAGGGAUUGCCCAGGACCUAAGAUUUUCAGUGCUAAAAUAGAGAAUCUCUGGCAAACCAGAAUGGUUUGUCACCCUGCAUCAAUUGGUAAUUAAAGUGAGUUUAAUAAGGACUUAUUUACAAAUGAAUGGACAGGGUUUGGGGAACCUAGUAAGGAAUGAUGCCACACCCUGGGCCUACCGGUCAUGAGGAGACAUUGCCACCCCUAAUCCUGAAGGGGCAAAGAGAGACUGUGGUUACUGAAACCCAGAGAAAUAAUCUCCCUGGAGCUUGCUGCCUGCCAGGCGCCUUUAAUGGAGAAGAUCACACCAGUUUCCUUCUCCCUUCCUUCUGAGCUCCUUUUGGGGCUUCCCAUUGGAUAAACUCAACUAAAAGCCAGAGGACAAUGGAGCCCAUUGUCAUAGACCAUAUAAGUCCACCUCCUGAGACCCGGUGACACAAGGUAAAGAAGGAUGCAGAAUGGAUCUUGACAGACAAAUGAAAAAUAACCAGGAAAAACCCUUAAUGAAAUUGAUGGUUGAGUACCUGAAAUGUCCAUCUCCUGUUUAGUAGGUCAUACAGUAUCAGAAUGAGAAGAAUACAGGGUAAGGCUUAGGAGAACUGAGCCUUGGUGGUACAACUGGUAUUCACAAUCCAUGGGACUUUGAGAAAAUAUCUUUCUUUGCAUCACACUACUUAUCUACUAAUUAUGAAAUCUUUCUAGAGCAGAAGUCUCAUGCUGGACAUCCAUGGAUCAAAUCUUAAUGCAUAUGUAUAUUGUUGGGCCAGUACAAUAUUUUAAAAUAAACAUGACAUCUCAACAUUGAAAACGUCAGGAGAAUUUACUAGUUUAGUCAGCAUCCCCCCCCCAUUCCUAGUUCCUUAGACUCACCUGGCUUACUCCACUCAUUUAUAUUACCUGUCUGCUCUCCAUCAGAAUUUGAUUUUGCAACCCUUGAAUGAGCUCUUUUAGCUUUCAGCUGUAACAGUCUGUGAAAUUUAAGGCAUGCUGUAUUUUUUGCAUAUGAACAUAGGCUUUUUGAAUUUUCUAAUCUAGGUAGAUUAUAAAGUUGGCAGGUGUUUAUUUUUGCAUAUCUUCCUUUACAUCUUAAACACAGCACAUAUGCAGUUUUAUGAAGCAUAUGGUUUUCCAUGUGCCUAAAUACACUUUGUUGAUUUUUCCUUUUCCCAAGUUCUCCAAAAGCCCAGUAGAAUAAACACAAGCUGCCACAUGGAAAACAAUUCUGAGGAAGAGCCCAGCUGGGGUGGAAAAAGUGAGGGGAUACGAUAAGCUGCCAAGUGACCAUAUUCUGGGUCCAAGUUUCCCUAGUUCAUGAAGACUACGAUUCUUUUUCUCCCCCUUUUCAUGGUACAUGGUGAGCAUGGGUGUGAACCAGUUUGAGUGUGGAACUGCCUUUUGCUUUUUUGGCUUAUGAUGAAGGAUGGAGCAAAAAGGCAAAUUUGGCCUCUCUAUGGCCAACCUUGAAUGGAAACACCUGGAAAUGUUUUACUGGGUGACGGGGCCCUGAGUUUUAUAUCUCCUGACAACAGUCAUGGCAGGAAGUCACAGCAAGGAGGAGACUGUUUUCCAGGCCCAGAGAGAAGAUAUUCUGAAAAGAAAAUUUUCUCCAUAGACCAGCCCUGUUGAAGAGAUGCUAACAAUGAGCUUGUUGGGUCAAGGAACCUUGAGGUAGGUGUUAGUGGGAAUUGCAUUUAGAUUCCCAGAAGGACUGAGAAACUGACACUGUCUAGCCAGCAUUUGAUACUGAAUCUGACUGCUUGCCCAACUCAAAAAGAAUUUCCCCUUCAGCCCUCCCUCAGCACUUCCCCUGUUACACUGUUUCAGUCAUUGCUGGAAGAUGAUUAGGCCAAAGGAUUAAAGUGUUGAAAAAGAAGCUUCUAGCUCCUUUUCCAGAAUAAACAAAGAUUUGGGUUGAACAUAACUUGUGAACAAGUGUUAGUUUUUCUCAAGGAAAGGUAAGUGUGUUUUUGAGUGUUGCAGACUGAACUGGCACUGAUGAAGUUGUGAAGGAGAAAAUUUGGUCUUAACUGUAUCCCUCUUCCUUUCUGGGACUUUUUUUGUUGCCCAUAACUUGCCAUUCCUAUGCCUUCCUGCAUCCCAGCACUUCCUAUUGUCUUUAUGUACCUAUCUUACCUGCUAGCUACCUGACCCUCGGCCCCCAGAACAACUUACCUCUCCUCUAUGUCCCUGUGUCAUUGAGAUUUCUUGCCGGGUUGGAUGACCAUAGAAUUUAGUGUUCAAAUCAGGACACUUAAAAAAAAAUUGGGGUGGGAGUUCCCGUCAUAGCUCAGUGGUAACAAACCCGAUUAGUAUCCAUGAAGUUGUGGGUUUGAUUCCUGAUCUCUUGCUCAGUAGGCUGAAGGAUCUGGUGUCGCUGUGAGCUGUGGUGUGGGUCGCAGACACGGCUCAGAUCCUGCAUCAUUGCUGUGGCUGUGGCAUUGGCCACCUACUAUAGCUCAGAUUCGACCCCUAGUCAGGGAACUUCCAUGUGCCGCAGGUGUAGCCUUAAAAAGACAAAAAAAAAAAAAAAAAAAA